CCUACGCGCGGCAGCAGUGGGGAAUUUUGCGCAAUGCUCGUAAGAGUGACGCAGCGACGCCGCGUGAAUGACGAAGGCCUUCGGGUCGUAAAGUUCUUUCGACAGGGAAGAAAAUGCCUAUAAGUAACUGUGUAUGUAUUGACGGUACCUGUAUAAGCAGCACCGGCUAAUUCCGGGCCAGCAGCCGCGGUAAAACGGAGGGGGAGAGCGUUGUUCGGAGUGAGUGGGCGUAAAGAGCACGUAGGCGGUGUUGUACGUCAUUAGUCAAAGAGUAGAGCGCAACUUUAGUAAGGCUAGUGAUACUAUAAUAGUAGAGUAUCAGAGAGGAUUGCAGAAUUCCUGGUGUAGCGGUGAAAUGCGUAGAUAUCAGGAGGAAUACCGUUAGCGAAGGCGGCAAUCUGGCUGGAAACUGACGCUGAGGUGCGAAAGCGUGGGUAGCAAACAGGAUUAGAUACCCGGGUAGUC
rnacentral:rRNA from 1 species